rnacentral:misc_RNA from 1 species
UAUGGCGUCAGUCUUUUGUAAUGAUUUAUGAAAGGAAAUAAUCUAAUUACGAUCACAGAAUUUUCAAGUGUAGUGCACUUUAUUAAAGUAAAUAAUUUAACAUCCGGCCUAAAGUGUUAAGAUACUAGGGAAGUUACUCGUAAUUACGUUACAGCAGGUAAACGCUACGAUGUCUUGGCGAAGUCGAGAGGAGCGCUGCUCGAGGUGGGACACCAACAAAUGGGAACUCCGCGAUCGGUCGCCUGUAUGGGAGCCUAGGAACGUCAGCCCUGAGUGCAGGUCGCCAUCCCGACACCGACACUCGCAUGAUAGACGGCCUCGUCACGAGCGCGACUUUCGGCGUGACCGCCACGACCGGGAUCGCGACCGUGACCGAGAACGCGACAGAAAACGGUACGAGGAAGCGCCCGCGCCCCCCUCGCCGCCCGUCAUCAGCGAUGACAAAAAGAGCUCACGGUCUAGUAGUCGAUCCGAUAGUCGUGAGAGGGACAGGUCUGAUAUGGAAAUAGAAAAGGACAAGCACCAGGAUGAGGUGCAGAACAACGCAUCACCGGGUGAUUGGAUCUGCAAGUGUGGUCUAUACAACUUUAAAAGACGUCAGGUCUGUUACCGUAGAACUUGUAAUGGGAAAAGAUCGGAGGGUGUAGUUUAUGGAGGUGAUGGGGAUCGUAACGGUGUAGUCGAAACACCUGGCAUCACAAAGAGGUUACUCUUUAGGAGGCUAGAUGCUUUGACUACUGAAGAAAAUAUAUUGGAAGAGCUUAAACUACGUUGCAGUAAAGAAGUUCUAGAGUUAAUUGUAGGUAUUUCAAUUGGUAGAGAAACUUUAACAGGUGCAUCAAAGUGUCUCGCCUACAUCAAUUUCAACUCCAUAGCAGAUUCUACAACAGCACAUACAGAGUUGGUGAAUCUCCAACCACCAUUAAGGAUUGACGGUCGAGAAGUGCUUAUAAGCUUUUACAAUGAACCUAAAAAAAUUGUUAAACCAACACAAGUUGACUAUACGUCAUACUACUCUCAAAUGUCUUCGUACAGUGGUGCAACAACUCAAGCAAUGUCUGAGGCUGAUCGAGUCAAUGCAGCUGCUGCAGUAGCUCAGUCUGCUAUAUCGGCAGCCCAGGCUAGACAGCUAUCAUGGACGCCAGUUGGUGCUGUACCUUUCACUGGUACUACCCAAACUACAAAAACAAAUGUACCCAUAGGUGAUGGGAAGACAGUUUAUCCUGCCCCAGAUGUGAGAACAUUCAUGUAUGAUGAGUCAUCUGGUUACUAUUAUGACCCGUCAACUUGUUUAUACUAUGAUGGGAAGACACAAUAUUUUUAUAAUAGUCAAAUCAGUCAAUAUAUGUAUUGGGAUGGUAAAACAAACACUUAUAUUGCUGCAACACAGGCUCAGAAUGCUGAACAAAACAAACAAAGAGAGGCCAAGGAGCCUGAUGAAAAGAAAAGGAGAGACAAAGAAGACAAAGUUAAAGUAGCUAAAAAGAUAGCUAAGGAUAUGGAAAGAUGGGCACGGACUCUAAAUCAAAAGAAAGAGAAUGCUCGGAGUAACUUUGUUAUGGAACAGCCAACUGACACAAGUGCUAGCAAAGGCUCAGCAGACAUUGGUUUUUCAGUACUAGGAGCUGGACCAUCAUUAACUCAUGUAAGAGAAAUAUCCCCACCUCCCAACACAGAUGAAUUCUUGGUCAAAAAGAUCUCAGAACCAGUAUUUGAUAAUGAUGAUGACAUUAUUGACUGGGACAAAUUAACCUGCUUGUUAUGCAAAAGGAAAUUCCCUUCUGUAGAAGUGUUGAAUAAGCAUAAAGUUAUGUCAGACUUGCACAAACAAAAUCUAGUUGAAUUUAGGAAGAAGAAUGACUUGAUUCCACAGAUGAAUGGUUAUAGAGACAGGGCAGCUGAGCGACGUAUGAAAUUUGGUGAAGAUGAGCCUCCAAUGAUAAGAAAACGUUAUGAGCCUUCUGAACCAAUAGGUCCACCCAUUAACCCGCACCCACCUCCAAAUGUAGUAGAUACAAUAGGAGGUAAAAUGCUGCAAAAAAUGGGCUGGUCGGAAGGUCGAGGUUUAGGUAAGACUGAGCAGGGACGAAUAGCUCCCAUAGAAGCAGAACAGAGGCCAAGUUUAGCUGGUCUGGGGCAGAAAAGAGGUAUAUACACUCCCACACCUGGUGAAACAUAUCGCGAUACAGUUAAGAAACUUAUGAUAGCAAGAUAUAAAGAAGUUGUUGGACAAGAAGAAGGGAAAUAGAUUCGACCUGGGAUUCUACAACGCUCCCGUCACACGCGUAUUCGACAAUCGAGUCUACGCGCGAAGCUGGAACCACGUGCCAAACAAAAUAUUAAAAAGUACUUCAUUUUAUACUCGUUGGAUCGGAAAUGAAUUGAUCAAACGCCAUUUUAAAAAUAUUUAGCUUUCUUCCGUAGCGUUUCGUGUAUAGUUUAACUUUAAUGUAUAUAUAUAUAAAAUAAUUAUGUAGUAAGGAAUUUUGAGAUUGCGUUUGAUUGUAAAUAAAGAUAAAUAUAGGUAGGUUAUAUUAUAAAAACACGCUCUAAUAAUAAGCCCAAAAAUUAAAGUAAUAUUUUAAUUCUAGUGUUUUUCGGGGCAAGAUAUUACGCUAAAGUAAUGAAACUAAUGUAUUUUCAUUGAUGAAUGUCAAUAUUUAAGUUAAUCUGCGUUGAUUUUGUGAAUAUUACGUUGGCUAGGUCGAUACAGGUCUAGCUAAUGAAAGCCUGUCGAAGAUGAGUUCUUGUACAAGAUUAAAUUAAGCCUAAACAUAGGUGUUCAUUUAAGCUAAAUUUAAUGAUGAUUAUUACAAUAAAGACAUAAAUAAUUUACAGAGAUUAGUAUUAAAAGGUAGGUAAUCAAGUUGCAUAAUUGUUGUUAAAAUAAAUGUAUAUACAUGAAAUCCUAAACUUAUAUAGAAGCGCCGAAAUGCGCCCUUGUCAGCUGUACGGUAGCAUUUUCCCGUAACUUAUAAUUUGUACUCAAUAAGUGCAUACUAGUCGAUUGAAUUUGCCGUCCUAGUAAAACAUCACAACGACGUCUGUUGAUGGAUUCUAUUCGAUAAUAAAAGAAUGAUUUAUUUUAAUAAAAGAAUAAAAACAGCAAUUAACAUAUACGUGUAUAUAGUUAGGUACAUUUUAAUUUCACUAGCAUAUGUGUAGUAUUGGGUAAAUGGGAUUUUUAAAUUUUUCAUUCAGUCUUAUUAUUAUUAUCAUUAUUACUUAGGUAUUUAUAGCAGUUAGUUUUGAACAAAUUUUCGAGAUUCGAUGAUUGUAAGGCGUGGGUUAAAAGUAUUGUGCAUUUAAAAUAUGUACGAUAAAAAAAUGUGACGCGGUCUUUAAUAUUUUAAAAUAAAUAUUUCUAUACAUAA